GCUGUGAACCCCGUCAGGUCCGGAAGGAAGCAGCGGUAAGCGGAAUGCGUCGUGCGCCGCAGACAAGCCUGGUUCGAGCGACGUUCAGAGGCCAAGCGUUGACGUUCGAGACCGACGGGAGGUGCACGG
rnacentral:SRP_RNA from 1 species